GAUGAACGCUGGCGGCGUGCCUAAUACAUGCAAGUCGAGCGAACAGACGAGGAGCUUGCUCCUCUGACGUUAGCGGCGGACGGGUGAGUAACACGUGGAUAACCUACCUAUAAGACUGGGAUAACUUCGGGAAACCGGAGCUAAUACCGGAUAAUAUAUUGAACCGCAUGGUUCAAUAGUGAAAGACGGUUUUGCUGUCACUUAUAGAUGGAUCCGCGCCGUAUUAGCUAGUUGGUAAGGUAACGGCUUACCAAGGCAACGAUGCGUAGCCGACCUGAGAGGGUGAUCGGCCACACUGGAACUGAGACACGGUCCAGACUCCUACGGGAGGCAGCAGUAGGGAAUCUUCCGCAAUGGGCGAAAGCUUGACGGAGCAACGCCGCGUGAGUGAUGAAGGUCUUCGGAUCGUAAAACUCUGUUAUUAGGGAAGAACAAAUGUGUAAGUAACUAUGCACGUCUUGACGGUACCUAAUCAGAAAGCCACGGCUAACUACGUG
rnacentral:rRNA from 1 species